rnacentral:rRNA from 1 species
CUCCCAUUUGAAAUCUGGCACUUUCAGUGUCCGAGUUGUAAUUUGAAGAAGGUAUCUUUGGGUCUGGCUCUUGUCUAUGUUUCUUGGAACAGAACGUCACAGAGGGUGAGAAUCCCGUGCGAUGAGAUGUCCCAGACCUAUGUAAAGUUCCUUCGAAGAGUCGAGUUGUUUGGGAAUGCAGCUCUAAGUGGGUGGUAAAUUCCAUCUAAAGCUAAAUAUUGGCGAGAGACCGAUAGCGAACAAGUACAGUGAUGGAAAGAUGAAAAGAACUUUGAAAAGAGAGUGAAAAAGUACGUGAAAUUGUUGAAAGGGAAGGGCUUGAGAUCAGACUUGGUAUUUUGUAUGUUACUCUCUCGGGGGUGGCCUCUACAGUUUACCGGGCCAGCAUCAGUUUGAGCGGUAGGAUAAGUGCAAAGAAAUGUGGCACUGCUUCGGUAGUGUGUUAUAGUCUUUGUCGAUACUGCCAGCUUAGACUGAGGACUGCGGCUUCGGCCUAGGAUGUUGGCAUAAUGAUCUUAAGUCGC